ACUGAACGCUGGCGGCAUGCUUUACACAUGCAAGUCGAACGGUAACAGGUUAAGCUGACGAGUGGCGAACGGGUGAGUAAUGCAUCGGAACGUGCCCGAUCGUGGGGGAUAACGCAGCGAAAGCUGCGCUAAUACCGCAUACGAUCUGAGGAUGAAAGCGGGGGACCGUAAGGCCUCGCGCGAUCGGAGCGGCCGAUGUCAGAUUAGGUAGUUGGUGGGGUAAAGGCUCACCAAGCCAACGAUCUGUAGCUGGUCUGAGAGGACGACCAGCCACACUGGGACUGAGACACGGCCCAGACUCCUACGGGAGGCAGCAGUGGGGAACUUUGGACAAUGGGCGAAAGCCUGAUCCAGCAAUGCCGCGUGCAGGAAGAAGGCCUUCGGGUUGUAAACUGCUUUUGUACGGAGCGAAAAGGCUCUCUCUAAUACAGGGGGCUCAUGACGGUACCGUAAGAAUAAGCACCGGCUAACUACGUGCCAGCCGCCGCGGUAA
rnacentral:rRNA from 1 species